rnacentral:lncRNA from 1 species
UUUUAAUCUAGAGCACUUAUCGUCUUUUUUUUUUUUAAGAUUUUAUUUAUUUAUUCAUGAGAGACACAGAGAGAGAGAGGCAGAGACAAAGGCAGAGGGAGAAGCAGGCUCCAUGCAGGGAGCCUGAUAUGGGACUCGAUCCUGUCUUCAGGGUCACACUGUGGGCCGAAGGCAGGCGUCAAACCGCUGAGCCACCCAGACAUCCCUUAAUACACUAUAUAAUUGAAAAAUAUAUAUAUAGUGUACAAUUUAUUUACUUAUUUAACUUAUGGUCUGUCUCCCCACUGUAGGAUGUAAGCUCCACAAGGGCAGGGAUUUUUUCCUUUUGUUUUGCCACUGUUACACCACUGUACCUUGUCGGUGCUCAAUAAAUACUUGUUGAAGAGUCAUGUACUAUUCUAGGUACUGGAAUUUUAGCAGCAAACAAGGCAGUCCAGGUCUCAGACCUUAAAGGAUUUACAUUCUCUUGGAGGGGGGUAGUGCGGGGAGAAGGGAAGGCUAUAAAUAAGUAAACAAGCAAAUGAAAUUAUUUCAGAUUUUGAUUAAGUGCAAUGAAAGAACUAAAUAAUAAUAACCAAUAAAAGAAUGAUGGAGAAAGGAAGGUGACUUAGGAGAGGUCAGGAGGGCACACUCACUUAUUAGAAUGUAAGCCCCAUGAGUAUUUGGACCUUGCCUAUCUUGUUUAGAGUAGUGAUAGGAUUUUCUAGGGUGGGGGUAGAGCUUCUAAAUUUCCAACCUAUUGAGAAAUAGGGCCUAGGAGAUGGAGAAGUAGAGAUUUUUAAAAAUCAUCUUUAUCAGGGACCACAGGUGGCUCAGUCGGUUAAGCAUCAGAUGCUUGACUUCAGUUCAGGUUGAUCUUAGGGUGGUUGAGUUUAAGCCCCACAUUAAAAAUAAAUCAUGGGAUCCCUGGGUGGCGCAGCGGUUUGGCGCCUGCCUUUGGCCCAGGGCGCAAUCCUGGAGACCCGGGAUCGAAUCCCACGUCGGGCUCCCUGCAUGGAGCCUGCUUCUCCCUCUGCCUGUGUCUCUGCCUCCUCUCUCUCUCUCUCUCUGUGAUUAUCAUGAAUAAAUAAAUAAAUAAAAUCUUAAAAAAAAUAAAAAUAAAUCAUUAUUACUAAUCAAAUAAGGUAAAACUUUAUCCCUAAAUAAGAAACACUAAUGUUAAAUGAGUUGGUGGUACAGUUGGACAACCAUAGGCUUCUCCAGAGGGACAGACUGUCCCAGGUUGCUUAUUUCCUGGAGAAAGACCAGAAUUUCUACUUCUUGUAGACACACAAGUAGUAGGGUAUCAAAGAAAAGCCCUGUGGCACUGAGUCUAGUAUGCACAGUUCCUACUCUAAAUUCAACAAGUAGCUAACUUCUCUCUUCCUGUCCUGGGAAGAGUGAGUUGAGAUGAUAGUGUGCAGCUAGAAGUGGCAUUCAAAUUCUGUCUUCCGUGGAAACCUAAGGAAGAAGAUAAGUGUUCUCAGCUAGCAUGCUGUGGCAGCAGGAAUACUCAGAUUCCCUGCUGAGAGAGGGAGGUGGAUUUAGGACUCCAGCUGCUGCCCUCUGGAUUCACCAGUGUUCGUAAGAGGCCACCUGCCCCUGGGCUGAUCCGACCUGCAGGGUGCAAUGCUAAUUUAGGCUCCUUCCUGCAAGAGGUGGGGUUUUUCCAAUGGGCAAGUUAGACCCAUAGGUGGUGGUGGAAAACUUUCUCAGAACUGCUCUGCAGAGUGAGACUCUUUGUAGUCAAUGCUACUUCCUCUCUCCUCCCCUUUCCAUGGUAGCUGACCUGGAUGCAGUCUGAAAGCUCUCCUCAGGUUCUCCUUUAUCCCCAUCCUUCACAUGCAACUCCCCAAAUAAAUCUCUUAGGCAUCUAAUUCUAUCUGCAUGUCUGCUUCUCGGAGGGCACACACAAACACACAUGUUGUAUGCUCAGCACCUAGAACAGGGCCUAAGAUGCAAGAUGCUCGAUAAAUAUUUGUUAAAUUAAUUAAUGCAAGAAUGAAGAGAUGCCACUUGAGCUAAGACCUGAAGCAUAAGGAGGAACCAGCCACCCAAAAAAGCCAAGGGAAGAGUUUUUCAAGCAAACGAGAUGUCAAGUACGAAGGCCUCUAGAAAAGAAAGAGCUUGUCUUAUUGAAGAGCAAAAGCCAGUGGGAUUGAAGCCCAGGUGGUAGAUGUGGUAGAUGUGGUAGAUGAGGCAAGAGAAGCAGAGGUGGGCAAAUGCCAUAGGGUCUUACAGGUCAUGAUAAGAGUUUGUGGUUGUAUGGAAGACAAUACAGGGAAAGUGUUUCAAAAGUGCUCAAUUGUGCUGGAUGCUGCUGAGAAGGCCAAUAAGUACUGGACACAGAAAUGGAACUGGUCUUGGCUUAAUGGAGGUCAUUGGUGACUCUGACAAGAGAA